rnacentral:rRNA from 1 species
CAUAACGACUCUCGGCAACGGAUAUCUCGGCUCACGCAUCGAUGAAGAACGUAGCAAAAUGCGAUACUUGGUGUGAAUUGCAGAAUCCCGUGAACCAUCGAGUUUUUGAACGCAAGUUGCGCCCAAAGCCAUCCGGUUGAGGGCACGCCUGCCUGGGCGUC